UACAGAGGGGGCAAGCGUUGUUCGGAAUUACUGGGCGUAAAGGGCGCGUAGGCGGCCAUCUAAGUCGAACGUGAAAUCCCCGGGCUCAACCCGGGAACUGCGUCCGAUACUGGUUGGCUUGAAUCCGGGAGAGGGAUGCGGAAUUCCAGGUGUAGCGGUGAAAUGCGUAGAUAUCUGGAGGAACACCGGUGGCGAGGGCGGCAUCCUGGACCGGCAUUGACGCUGAGGCGCGAAAGCUAGGGGAGCAAACGGG
rnacentral:rRNA from 1 species